GAUGAAGAACGUAGCGAAAUGCGAUAAGUAAUGCGAAUUGCAGAAUUCAGUGAAUCAUCGAAUCUUUGAACGCACAUUGCGCCCGCUAGUAUUCUGGCGGGCAUGCCUGUCUGAGCGUCAUUUCGACCCUCGCCCCCGGCUUUUGCUGGGAGCGGUGUUGGGGAUCGGCCGCCCGUCACUGGGAGGCCGGCCCCGAAAUAGAGUGGCGACCACGCCGUGUGCUCCUCUGCGUAGUAGUAAAUCACCUCGCAGGCGGACAGCGGUGCGGCCUGCCGUAAAACCCCCAACUCUUUCUGGUUGACCUCAGAUCAGGUAGGAAUACCCGCUGAACUUAAGCAUAUCAAUAAGCGGAGGA
rnacentral:misc_RNA from 1 species